rnacentral:rRNA from 1 species
AUUGAACGCUGGCGGCAGGCUUAACACAUGCAAGUCGAGCGGGGAAGGGUAGCUUGCUACCUAACCUAGCGGCGGACGGGUGAGUAAUGCUUAGGAAUCUGCCAUUUAGUGGGGGACAACAUUCCGAAAGGAAUGCUAAUACCGCAUACGUCCUACGGGAGAAAGCAGGGGAUCUUCGGACCUUGCGCUAAAUGAUGAGCCUAAGUCGGAUUAGCUAGUUGGUGGGGUAAAGGCCUACCAAGGCGACGAUCUGUAGCGGGUCUGAGAGGAUGAUCCGCCACACUGGGACUGAGACACGGCCCAGACUCCUACGGGAGGCAGCAGUGGGGAAUAUUGGACAAUGGGCGGAAGCCUGAUCCAGCCAUGCCGCGUGUGUGAAGAAGGCCCUAUGGUUGUAAAGCACUUUAAGCGAGGAGGAGGCUACUUAGAUUAAUACUCUAGGAUAGUGGACGUUACUCGCAGAAUAAGCACCGGCUAACUCUAUGCCAGCCGCCGCCGUAACAC